rnacentral:rRNA from 1 species
AACGAACGCUGGCGGCAUGCCUAACACAUGCAAGUCGAACGAUCCCUUCGGGGAUAGUGGCGCACGGGUGCGUAACGCGUGGGAACCUGCCCUUAGGUUCGGAAUAACUCAGAGAAAUUUGAGCUAAUACCGGAUAAUGUCUUCGGACCAAAGAUUUAUCGCCUUUGGAUGGGCCCGCGUUGGAUUAGCUAGUUGGUGGGGUAAAGGCCUACCAAAGCGACGAUCCAUAGCUGGUCUGAGAGGAUGAUCAGCCACACUGGGACUGAGACACGGCCCAGACUCCUACGGGAAGCAGCAGUGGGGAAUAUUGGACAAUGGGCGAAAGCCUGAUCCAGCAAUGCCGCGUGAGUGAUGAAGGCCUUAGGGUUGUAAAGCUCUUUUACCCGGGAUGAUAAUGACAGUACCGGGAGAAUAAGCCCCGGCUAACUCCGUG